rfam:Myotis davidii contig112438, whole genome shotgun sequence.
GGCAGUUCUUGGGUGAUGCACCCUGGAAUCGGGCUCCCUCCUCUCUGGUUCUGGGUGCAUCACCCAAGAACCGCC